GACGAACGCUGGCGGCGUGCUUAACACAUGCAAGUCGAGCGGUAAGGCCUUUCGGGGUACACGAGCGGCGAACGGGUGAGUAACACGUGGGUGAUCUGCCCUGCACUUCGGGAUAAGCCUGGGAAACUGGGUCUAAUACCGGAUAUGACCUCCUAUCGCAUGGUGGGUGGUGGAAAGAUUUAUCGGUGCAGGAUGGGCCCGCGGCCUAUCAGCUUGUUGGUGGGGUAAUGGCCUACCAAGGCGACGACGGGUAGCCGACCUGAGAGGGUGACCGGCCACACUGGGACUGAGACACGGCCCAGACUCCUACGGGAGGCAGCAGUGGGGAAUAUUGCACAAUGGGCGAAAGCCUGAUGCAGCGACGCCGCGUGAGGGAUGACGGCCUUCGGGUUGUAAACCUCUUUCAGCAGGGACGAAGCGCAAGUGACGGUACCUGCAGAAGAAGCACCGGCUAACUACGUGCCAGCCGCCGCCGUAA
rnacentral:rRNA from 1 species